rnacentral:rRNA from 1 species
AGCGAACGCUGGCGGCAGGCCUAACACAUGCAAGUCGAACGAACUCUUCGGAGUUAGUGGCGGACGGGUGAGUAACACGUGGGAACGUGCCUUUUGGUUCGGAAUAACUCAGGGAAACUUGUGCUAAUACCGAAUGUGCCCUUCGGGGGAAAGAUUUAUCGCCAUUAGAGCGGCCCGCGUCUGAUUAGCUAGUUGGUGAGGUAACGGCUCACCAAGGCGACGAUCAGUAGCUGGUCUGAGAGGAUGACCAGCCACACUGGGACUGAGACACGGCCCAGACUCCUACGGGAGGCAGCAGUGGGGAAUCUUGCGCAAUGGGCGAAAGCCUGACGCAGCUAUGCCGCGUGAAUGAUGAAGGUCUUAGGAUUGUAAAAUUCUUUCACCGGGGACGAUAAUGACGGUACCCGGAGAAGAAGCCCCGGCUAACUUCGUG